AUGAUGGUAUAGUCGUCCUAG
rnacentral:siRNA from 1 species